rnacentral:rRNA from 1 species
GACGAACGCUGGCGGCGUGCUUAACACAUGCAAGUCGAACGGAAAGGCCCCUUUGGGGGUACUCGAGUGGCGAACGGGUGAGUAACACGUGAGUAACCUGCCCUUGACUUCGGGAUAACUUCAGGAAACUGGGGCUAAUACCGGAUAGGAAUCCUUGCUGCAUGGUGGGGGUUGGAAAGCUUCGGCGGUUUUGGAUGGACUCGCGGCUUAUCAGCUUGUUGGUGGGGUAGUGGCUUACCAAGGCUUUGACGGGUAGCCGGCCUGAGAGGGCGACCGGCCACAGUGGGAAUGAGAUAAGGCCCCGGAUCCGAAGGGAGGGAGAAGUGGGGAAUAUUGACCAAUGGGCGGAAGGCGGAUGCAGAAACGCCGCGGGCGGGAGGACGGCCUUAGGGUUGUAAACCGCAUUCAGCAGGGGCGAAGCUUGUGGUGACGGUACCUGCAGAAGAAGCACCGGCUAACUACGUG